rnacentral:rRNA from 1 species
CCUACGGGUGGCAGCAGUGAGGAAUAUUGGUCAAUGGGCGAGAGCCUGAACCAGCCAAGUCGCGUGAAGGAUGACGGCCCUACGGGUUGUAAACUUCUUUUGUCCGGGAGCAAAUUGCUCCACGCGUGGACUUUGCUAGAGUACCUGUAGAAAAGGCAUCGGCUAACUCGGUGCCGCCAGCCGCGGUAUUACGGAGGAUGCGCGCGUUAUCCGUAUUUAUUGGUUUAAAGGGGUGCGUAGGCGGAAUAUAACUUCUGCGGUAAAGAUUCGGGCCUAAACCCCGUCGUGCCGUUGAAAAUGAUGUUCUUGAGUGGGCGAGAAGUAUGCGGAAUGCGUGGUGUAGCGGUGAAAUGCAUAGAGAUCACGAAGAACUCCGAUUGCGAAGGCAGCAUACCGGAGCCCAACUGACGCUGAAGCACGAAAGCGUGGGUAUCGAACAGGAUUAGAUACCCGAGUAGUC